CCACAAGAAGGUCAAAAAACUCUUUUGAAGUUGUCUCCAUAUAACGCCUUCCUGAUUCCAAAACAAUGACCAGAGCAAUGCUAGGAUAAAAGGUGAACUGUUUACUUAAAAUGCAGGAAGUUACUCCAGUCAAUAGUUUCCCUGCAUCCUGUAUGCCUGCAUAAUGUCUUCCAGCAUUUUGUCAGAUCUGACAUUUGCCAGAAGUCGUUUCUCUUCUUCGAAAUCUUCAGCAGCAGCAUCAGCAAUCAGCUAAGUGCGAUUCAAUGAAAGAACACACGUGGCCCUCAAGUCUCUAGAUGGACAGCCCUGUUAUAAGGAAGAUGCACCAACACCGAAAGUUCAAGACUGGACUCCUCUCCCUGUAUCAUAUACUUACAUAACAGCAGAAUUUUAAAGAGAAGUUCAACCAACAUGGUAAAGUGAAGCUUGAAAUGGAAAUAAAGUUCGCUAACAGAAAUCUGAGGGGCUGAAAAACCUCUAAUAUAUCCCAUAACUUGAGCUAUGAGUUAAGCCCUGGUGCAGAAGGUGCAAAGCGCAAGAACUAGGCACCAUCGGCAGCUGGCAGAAAACCAAUAGAAGAUUUCUUUUCUGUGCUUUUAAUGGGAAAAACUAAUACAGUCUUCGUAGGCAAUAAGAACAAAUGUUCCAUCAUUUCAUGGCAACCACGGCAAAUGUUCUGUUGAAGUUUAUAACCCCAAUAACCUUGCCAGGGACAAGACAGGCAGCAUUACAGCUCUUGCAAAUAUUCUCAAACAAGAGAUUAUGCUUUAAAAUUAACUGUAUAAGGUGCGUGCACUAGAGAGCUCUUCUCAUAAAUUCUGAUAACUGGAAAUCUUUGGACAGCCUGGAUUUGAGGGGUAUCAACCUUAUAGACUUCUAUAAACAAAACCACCAAGUUAUAAAUACUUCUUUUAGGUAUCUAUCUGCAUUGAGCAUUACUUACC